GCAAUGACUACUUGUAUACUAACUACAUAUUCAAAUGAUGUGCAAUAUGUGGCGUAUAUAAAUUUAUAUUCACACAUGUCUCAGGUACGUGUGUACACAACAUCCUCAUGUUUAUAAACACAAGAUGUUUAUAGAUAAUUACUGCCAAAAUCACUAAUUUGCUUGGCACCAUUUGCCAACUACUGAGCCAGGUAGGACUUACUAUGGUUUAUGACUCAGUUCCUCUGGACCUUUGGGAGCUGUGCUGUCUUGUCUAUCUUCAUGCACCUUGCUACUGCUGUUCUCUCUCAGAUUUGCAUGUCUGCUAACAAUAAAAGCACAAAGAAAUGAGCACCGGGACUGACGAGGAAAGCAAAGCCAAAGCAGAACUCCCGUUCCUCAUCAUAGGUCCUUCAGAAGUGGACAGUUUCAAGGGCUUACUGCUGGAGUAAUUUAACAGCCAUGCUGUGAAAAUG
rnacentral:lncRNA from 1 species